AUGAACGCUGGCGGCGUGCCUUAGGCAUGCAAGUCGAACGGGAAUUGUAGCAAUACAAUUUCAGUGGCAGACGGGUGAGUAACGCGUAGGAAUCUACCCCUAGGUAAAGCAUAGCCGGUCGAAAGAUCGGGUAAUACUGUAUGGUCUCGAAAGAGUAAAGGCCUUAACUGGCCGCCAAGGGAGGAGCCUGCGUCCUAUCAGCUAGUUGGUGAGGUAAUGGCUUACCAAGGCAAUGACGGGUAGCCGGCCUGAGAGGGUGACCGGCCACACUGGGACUGAGACACGGCCCAGACUCCUACGGGAGGCAGCAGUGGGGAAUAUUGCACAAUGGGCGCAAGCCUGAUGCAGCGACGCCGCGUGAGGGAUGACGGCCUUCGGGUUGUAAACCUCUUUCAGUAGGGAAGAAGCGAAAGUGACGGUACCUGCAGAAGAAGCGCCGGCUAACUACGUGCCAGCAGCCGCGGUAAUACGUAGGGCGCAAGCGUUAUCCGGAAUUAUUGGGCGCAAAGAGCUCGUAGGCGGUUUGUCGCGUCUGCCGUGAAAGUCCGGGGCUCAACUCCGGAUCUGCGGUGGGUACGGGCAGACUAGAGUGAUGUAGGGGAGACUGGAAUUCCUGGUGUAGCGGUGAAAUGCGCAGAUAUCAGGAGGAACACCGAUGGCGAAGGCAGGUCUCUGGGCAUUAACUGACGCUGAGGAGCGAAAGCAUGGGGAGCGAACAGGAUUAGAUACCCUGGUAGUCCAUGCCGUAAACGUUGGGCACUAGGUGUGGGGGACAUUCCACGUUUUCCGCGCCGUAGCUAACGCAUUAAGUGCCCCGCCUGGGGAGUACGGCCGCAAGGCUAAAACUCAAAGGAAUUGACGGGGGCCCGCACAAGCGGCGGAGCAUGCGGAUUAAUUCGAUGCAACGCGAAGAACCAUACCAAGGCUUGACAUGGGCCGGACCGGGCUGGAAACAGUCCUUCCCCUUUGGGGCCGGUUCACAGGUGGUGCAUGGUUGUCGUCAGCUCGUGUCAUGAGAUGUUGGGUUAAGUCCCGCAACGAGCGCAACCCUCGUUCCAUGUUGCCAGCGCGUAAUGGCGGGGACUCAUGGGAGACUGCCGGGGUCAACUCGGAGGAAGGUGGGGACGACGUCAAGUCAUCAUGCCCCUUAUGUCUUGGGCUUCACGCAUGCUACAAUGGCCAGUACAAAGGGUUGCGAUACUGUGAGGUGGAGCUAAUCCCAAAAAGCCGGUCUCAGUUCGGAUUGGGGUCUGCAACUCGACCCCAUGAAGUCGGAGUCGCUAGUAAUCGCAGAUCAGCAACGCUGCGGUGAAUACGUUCCCGGGCCUUGUACACACCGCCCGUCAAGUCACGAAAGUUGGUAACACCCGAAGCCGGUGGCCUAACCCCUUGUGGGAGGGAGCUGUCGAAGGUGGGACUGGCGAUUGGGACU
rnacentral:rRNA from 1 species